rnacentral:pre_miRNA from 1 species
GUAUCCGUGCUGAGAUUUCGUCACACACCAGACCACAAGGGCUGAUGAGCCUUCCAAGAUAAGUGAAGCG